GACGAAGGGAGCGAGCGUUAUUCGGUUUCACUGGGCUUAAAGGGCGCGUAGGCGGUCGGGUAUGUCGGUUGUGAAAUCCCUGGGCUCAACUCAGGAAUGGCUUCCGAAACUACCCGACUUGAGGCAUCUUGUGGGUGACUGGAACUCUUGGUGGAGCGGUGACAUGCGUAGAUAUCAAGAGGAACGCCGGUGGUGAAGACGGGUCACUGGAGAUGCCCUGACGCUGAGGCGCGAAAGCUAGGGGA
rnacentral:rRNA from 1 species